CUUCCCAUUAUCUUAUUGCUUUACCUUUAUUUUGAAAACUAUGGAAAUAGUAUUUCAGUUGUAUGUUUAAACAAGUAUAGAAGCCUUCCUUGUGUAAUAUAUAAAGGAAUAUUAAUUUUUAUAUAAAACAGUUAAGCUGUAACAUUUCUGUUAUGUUUAUUUAAAUACAUCUAUCCAAAAACAAAAUUUUUGUUGGGAAUAUAUCUGCUAUUAAUUGAAGUGUAAAUAAAUAUAUCUUUUUGAAUAGCAGUUUGGCAGUCAAUCAAAAUUUGAGUGUGUAAAACUUUUGAAUUGUUGGAAUUUGCUGAUUACAUUUUAUCUAUUCCUACUCAAGUAAUAUAAAGAAGAAAGUAUGUUAUAGGUUGAGUGUAAGACUAAUGAUAGCUUAUUCAUAUGGAUAUCAUUGAAAAACACUGAAAUAUUCUGAUAUUGAAGGAUGUUUUAAGUUGAUUUUUAAAAUUGUCAGUAUUGAAGAAAGGUCAACUAAAUAUGUAUAAGAGGUCUGUCCAUGUGCCUCUGGUUUCCUCAUUUAAAUAUUCAUUGUUAUUACUGGAAAAUGGGGCUGUCUAGAUACAAUAAUAUGAAGAAAUGCUUACUUAUUUGUGUUACUAUAAUGGCAUUCUUCUUGAAAUUUUUGUACAUGUUUAAGUUAAACACUAAAACAAUGUUUAUAACUUUGUAUAUUGCUAUGUGACAAUCUAAAAUGCAUAUAGGGGUUAUUGUAGAGAAACUUGCCAGAAAAAACAUGGCAAAAUUUUAACAUUACUAUAUAAGGAGAUGAGAAAUUAAGGGACUGCGGCUACUUUCCCACAUUUGUAAUUUUAAAGGUGUUUCAAAAGCAACGUUUAAACAACGAAGGGAAUUCUAGAGAUGUAAUUGAUUUGUGCCUGUCCUGAUUGUUGUCUAUUGACAUCUUGGGAAUGUUGGGCUGUUGUAUCCAACUUUGUAUCUUCAGUGGCUGUAAUGAAUAGUUUUGAGUGAUCAUGAAGAACCUGUGACAUAGACUAGUGCAGCAGAGAGUUACCCAGCGAAAUAAAGACUGUUGGGUUACCGAAGGAAAGAAGAAGAAAGAAGACAGGAUUUGAGGUGAACAUGGUAAAAAAUGAUACACUUGCAUAUAACCUGAGGAUAGCUGGCAUCAGGAACAUCCUUAUGCAACUAUGCCUAUGGAGUUCUUAUUCUUAUGCAAACAUGCCAAUGGAGUUCUUUCAUUUAUAAAUUUCAAAUUUAAACCACAGGAGAUGACAGUUACAGGAAAACAUACUUUUGCCACUUUUGUUUUUAAAUCUCAGUAAUUGGUACCACCAGACCUGUUGCAGUAUUCUCAUUCCAAGUGUUCUUCGCUCCCAUCUUUGGACUCUGGAGAAGCCCUUGGCCAUCAUAAUCUGUGUCCUUUAGGUGAUGAUUGAUUAGGAUACUGAUCGCUUCUGCCACCAUCUUCACUAAAAACCAAAAGACAGUCUUCAUAAUGUAUGUAGACUCGGCAUUGAUGUGUUACAAUAGACACUCCCUGUAGAUCAGAAAAACUGGACUUAGAAGGCUCAAGUUCGAAAGUGACUUGAAGGAUGUUAUUGGAGAGAAUUGUAACCAGGCAUGUUGAGAGAUUUCAAUUGUUGCCAUUGGACUAAAUCUCAGGAGCUUUACUGAUGGAGGCAUCAUUACAUGGAGAAGCUCAGCAUGGAGUGAUUGCAAGGCUUCGUUUCAGUGCUCUCAUAAAUAUUAGGUUCUUGUAUUUAAAAUUUUAACUUAUCACAGGGAAAUUUAAAAUUGAUUCAUAAAAAAUCAUCUUUUUCAAGAUCUCAAAGGACAUGGAAAUUUUUGAAGUAUGUUUUUACUUUGCCUUUUCCUAAUUCUAUACAUCCUUUCUAGUGUAUUGAUAAAUUAAUAUGCAAGUCAUUUCGGGGUCUCUAUAUUGGCUAUAGAUUUUUCUUUGCCGUAAGUAUGACUUACUGAUAAAUUGUAAUUUGCCUGACUAAUUUGUUGAAAUAGUUCCAGUGAAGUAGAACUGCUACUUCUGAAGAUAUCCAAAAUUUAUAUUUUGAGUCCAAUCUACAGAUUUCUCCCAACUGUAUAGAUGGGUCCUCAUCAGUCUUGUUCCCCAGGGUCUAUAUCCCAAAAUUAUACAAGUAUUAGCUGUUUAAUCUUUGGUAAUGUGAGAUUACACAGAAAUUGCUUUUCUCUGUUGUUUAGCUUGGUCAUCUUCAUGUUAUGCUUAACUUUACUGGUCACUUGUGUUAUUUCAUUUUCCUUUUUUUUUUUUCAUUUCCCUUGGAAUAUUAAUGUCUGUGUUACUGAUUUCUAAGAAAUCAUUUAUAAUUAAGGAUGUUAACCAUUUGUCAUGCAUCGGAAUGAAAUACCGUGUAUUUAUGCCACUAGUUUACUAUGGUGUUCUGUAUUUUGGUUGUGUAUUAAAAUAUAAUUGUGUUAUGUUUUA